rnacentral:lncRNA from 1 species
GGAAAUAGUAAGAAAUGUCCAGUGCUUCUAUUCCCUUGGGAUCUAGUCCACCUAAGGAAAUAAUUAUUGAAAGUCGUGGACAUAAACACAGGGUGUAUCACAUACAGAGUAGAUUCUAAGGUCUUUUGUGUGAACGGGUUCUUACUCCUUCUCUCAGAAUUGAACUGUUCAGCAGCUGGAAAACAGAAGAGGAAACCUAACUGUAGCUGAUUUUAGGGCACUCGGCUGCAAGUAAGGCAGGUGAUCCUUGUGCUGUCUAACAGGCCUGACCAGUGUGCCCCCUGAGAGGUAUGUAAGUUUUAGUGGAACACGCCAUGAGUCUACUAGGUUAUGAAACACACAUUUGUGGAUGGAGAGAGCAGUAACAGGAGAAAACAUAGCAAGUUUAUUGAUAGAAUUUUUUCAAAAGGGUUAAUUCCCCCAAAUUUAACGUACAUGGACAUUGAAGAGACACUUCAACUCUGUCUGGAGGCACAGUAAGAAAUGCCAUGGCCUUGUGCAACACUGCAAAGAUUCAGGCUGGACAGCAGGUAUUUUUCUGUGGGAGAAGAUGAACACCAGCUGCAUGGCCGUGGUUAGAAAAUAUCUUCCCUGCCUACUAAAGAGAAAAUUCUGUGGCAAAUACAUAUAAAAAAAUAAUGAUAGAAGAACCAUUCAGCAGUUAUACUUAGAAAACUCAAUGGUUCCCAAUUUUUUUUUCCCACUGUGAGUUUGAGCCACAAUCCACAUUCAUGCUGUCCAGUUCUGGUUACAUCAUUUGUUUGCAGUCCAUUGGAUUCAAAACUCAAAGUUCAAAGAACAAGAGGCAUGAGUUUUCAUGGAAGGCUCAGGAGGAGGUGUACGUACAGUUUAUUGUUUGUCAUCUGGAUAAAUACAUACAUAUACAUACAUAUGUCACAGUGAAGAGUGAAGAAAAAGUA